ACGCUCGACACCUACGGGGGCAGCAGUCGGGAAUAUUGCGCAAUGGAGGAAACUCUGACGCAGUGACGCCGCGUAUAGGAAGAAGGUUUUCGGAUUGUAAACUAUUGUCGUUAGGGAAGAAAAAAGAACAGUACCUAAGGAGGAAGCUCCGGCUAACUACGUGCCAGCAGCUGCGGUAAUCUGAGCGGGCUGGCAAGGC
rnacentral:rRNA from 1 species